UUAUCUUUUCCUGUAUCCGAACGCAUUUGCCUUAUCUGCAAUGUUUUAUCAUGAUAUAGCAAGGGUGAGCAUGAAAGUCGCCCAGCAAGUUUAAAUACAACAAUAUAAGGAUAUAUCAUGAUUGAAGAGUAUGAAUAAUAAGCUGGCUAUAAUUCAUCAAUAUAAUUGAGAACUAGCAGGAACAAACUUUUGACUGAACAAGUUUUAAACAUGAACAAACAUUUCUGAACCAACUGGUAAUGAAGGUGAUCAGCCUUUCAUACCUGACUUAUACAUGCAAGAUGUACAGAGUACAAUUUUCAUGGCAAUCAGCAAUGAUUAACCAUAAGCUUGAAUAAAACACUCUUAUUAGAGUUAAGUAAGAACAAACUUGCCUGAACCGUUGAUUACCGCAACGCAAUUUAUAACGCUUUACCCGAAGACCUAAUAUUAAUAAUAUAGAUCUCCAAUAUUAGAAUCACAGUAUAAUUCUGUUAUAUUUAAAUACACAGAAUAACCUAAACACAUAACACAUAACCCUAUCAGUCUAUACAGCACAUAAGACUUAAUAUCAGGUCAAACUAUUUCAGUCUGACUUAAAACUGACACAGUUCUAUCAUCCCGACAAUCUAGUCGGACAAUACUCGAGUUUAAGUUCAAUUAAACUCUUCCUGAACACUUAACAAUUAUCU
rnacentral:lncRNA from 1 species